rnacentral:rRNA from 1 species
AGCAGCCGCGGUAAUUCCAGCUCCAAUAGCGUAUAUUAAAGUUGCUGCAGUUAAAAAGCUCGUAGUUGAAUUUCGGGACCAUCAUGUCGGUCGUGCCUCGGUACGUACUGGCAUUGUUGGUUUCUCCCUUCUGACGAACCAUGAUGUCAUUAAUUUGGUGUCUUGGGGAAUCAGGACUGUUACUUUGAAAAAAUUAGAGUGUUUAAAGCAGGCUCACGCUUGAAUACAUUAGCAUGGAAUAAUGAAAUAGGACGUUUGAUUCUAUUUUGUUGGUUUCUAGGAUCGACGUAAUGAUUAAUAGGGAUAGUUGGGGGCAUUAGUAUUCAAUUGUCAGAGGUGAAAUUCUUGGAUUUAUUGAAGACUAACUACUGCGAAAGCAUUUGCCAAGGAUGUUUUCAUUAAUCAAGAACGAAAGUUAGGGGAUCGAAGACGAUCAGAUACCGUCGUAGUCUUAACCAUAAACUAUGCCGACUAGGGAUCGGAUGGUGUUAAUUUUUAAUGACUCAUUCGGCGUCCG